ensembl:lncRNA
AAAGAAAAUGUCAUGUGUAUUUGGAAGCAGCAUUGAUCUUCCCACACCCAAGGCCCUGUGCCAGGUAUCAGAGGUGCAACGAUGAAGCACCAAUCUGGCAGGUACAAAAGGUUGCGGGGUCAGAUUUGAAGGCACCCUGACAUUGAACCAGUCACUUGCCUUCUCUGGGCUUCAUUGUUCUCUUAACAGGGCGACGUUGUCGCUGAAGGCUGGCUGCUAAGAGUCCACGCUCAGGAAGGAGGAGAAGCAGCAGAAUGGUCCACACGGACCAUCCGAAGGCUUCUCACGCUCACCUGAGGAGAGCCCUACCGUAGCCACCACCACAAAGCCUUUCUCGAGAAGUCCUCUUCCUUUUCAUUAUCUGAAAAGCUGAACCCAUUUGACAUCUCUCUCCUUCCCCCACGGGAGAGCUCUCAGAUGCUCUCGGGGGAGAAAACUGGAGGUACCGAAGGGCAUGAGGGCUGGAAGCCGGAGAUGAGAAAUAUGUGGAACACUGACUGCGAGCCAGGAAAGCUGCUGCGAGCUGAGGAUGGAGACAGAAGUUGUCAGAGGAGCAGUUCUGACCCUGGGGGAGCCAUUCCGCUCUGGCCUCAGAAGGUGGAGGCGUUUGGAACCUGUGGGGGAAUUUCAGUGAAGGUGGAGGAAUGUGGGAGAAAGUUCCAAAGAGGGAUGUGAGAGAGCGACUGAGUCUAACUUGUCCAGGGUAUGGAGGGUGGGGGAUAGGGGACUGGGGAACAGGGAAGUUGUCUUUUCUUGGCUGAGGAGUCAUCCGAGGCCGGUGAGAGCACAGCAUGGUGCUGAAUGGAAAGAAUGAUGCUGAAUUUGGACAAAGGAGGGGUGUGGAGGCUGAAAGGAUGAGUCGCAAAUCCUUGGAUGAGUAGAAUGGCAAGCAAAAUGCAAGGUUCAUUAGGAUUUUUAUAGAGAUGGCCACUGUGUUCACAUUGACAAGAUGUGCCCUGUUUUCUCUUUGUGUGGUUAAGGUUGGAACGAAGCUGGAAUGCUCGGAAGGUCCCAUGUCCCAGUUCUGACAGGUCCUCUCAGACCCAGCCCAUUACCUGACAAUCUUAGUCACCUGAGUGGGGGGGCGGGCAGUUGGCAGGAUUCUCUCAGAAAUGACUUUCUUGUGAUUUGUCCAGCAAUCCCUUCCAUUAGCCAAACCAAAACAACCACUGAAUCUGAGGUAUUUGGCGUGGGUGGAUGGCGUUCUGGAUCCUUUAAGGGCAAAUGGCUGUAAAAUGAAAUGAUUCCCUUAAAAGCUCACUUCGUCCUUGAAGUGUGUGUGUGUGUGUGUGUGUGUGUGUGUGUGUGUGUAGGGGAGGAGGUCUUGUAAAGCUCUCACUUGUUCCAAAUGAACUUCCCCAACUUCAUUAGAAACAAGUGCAAACAGAUGGGGAGGGCGUAUUUCAUAAUAGCAACGGCCUCUUCACCACUGACCACCAUGAGAAAAAAACGGCUCACCCCCUCCCCCGCCCCCCACCUUCUGGAAGUUGUCCCUUUAAGUGAGGUAGGAAAGUUGGAGCUGUUUGCCUCCAAGGAAUUUAAGAGAAUCAACAUGUUUUCCUUUCCUGGUUGCAUCUGUGGUUGGAUUGCUUAAAAUAUUUCACUUCUUAAAGUAUCCUCAGUUUGUUACGGUGGAUUUUUUUGGUUUUUGUGUUGUUUGCCUCCCCCUUGUUUU